UGGUAGACACGCUGCUCUUAGGAAGCAGUGAUAGAGCAUCUUGAUUCAAGUCCGAGUGAGAUCCAAUAACAAGCAAGAUUCGAGAUUUGCCACUGACGUAAUUAGGGAAAUGGAGAUUGCUUUGGAGCCAAAUCUUGUGUUGCUGCUGGUCCCAAUUGAAAAUCUUGGGUCCAAAGUAGGUAACAUUUGGGUUGAAUUCAGGAUCCGCAGGUUCAGAAGGGUCUUUAGGAUCAGUAUCAAAACGAAUCUCAGCGAGGAUUUGAUUGGUUUCCUCAAUGCAUUUCUUGUUCUUGGCCUGAGCCUCGACGUAGCCAGCGAGGUUCCGACGCUGAUGGUAGCAUUAAGGACAAGAAUAGUAAUGAAGCUACAAAGGAUCUGAACCCCAAUGGGGUAAGCUAGAAGAAUAUGUACGACUGCUGAGUCUGGUAGUCGUGGUGGGAAGUGAACCACCAUCUGCUCCACUUCUUUUCUAAGGCUGUGUGGUUCUCUUGACCCAUCUCUUCCUAUCAAUGUAUCCCCUCUCUCUCUCUCUCUCUCUCUGUAUAUAUAUAUAUAUAUCAAAUAUGUAAAGGCAGAGAGAGAAACCAUAACAGUGACAGAUUGAUGGUUCCAUAGUUGAGGAGUGUUAAAACAAUAGAGAGUGAACAGAGGGUGGUUGAGGCUGAUAGAUAGGAAAAAAGACACUGGUCCAAGUGAACAGAAAACACCGACAGUGACGUAAUUUGGGUCCAUUAAUUCUACGAUCGAUCUCGUUCUUGUUUGACAUAAUUAAGGAAAUGGGGAUUGCUUUGGAGCCAAUUCUUGCGCUGCUGGCCCCAAUCGGAAAUCUUGGGGCCAAGAGUGUAGGUAGCAUUUGGGUUGAAAUCAGGCUCCGCGGGUUCAGAAGGGUCUGUAAGAUCAGUAUCAAAACGAAUCCCAGCGAGGAUUUAAUUGGUUUCCUCAAUGAGUUUCUAGUUCUUGCCCUAAGCCUCGGCGUAGCCAACGAGGUUUCCGAUGCCGAUGGUGGCAUGAAGGACAAGAAUAGUAACGAAGCCACAAAGUAUUAUAAACUUAAGGUUGUUGAAAGUCAUUUUGAUCUGAUGCACACAAGGUAAGCCAGAAGAAGAUGUAUGUCCGCUGGGUCCGGUAUUCAUGGUGGUAUCCCCCCCUCUCUCUCUCUCUAUAUAUAUAUAUAUACAUAUAUAUAUAUAUAUAAAGGCAGAGAGAGAAACCAUGACAGUGAUGCGUUGAUGGUUCCAUAGUUGAGAAGUGUUAAAACAAUAGAGAGUGAAGAGAGGGUGGCUGAGGCUGAUAGAUAGGAAAAAAGACACCUGCAAGGUAUUGGGUGUUCCUGAGAUCAAGUGUAGCUGUAUUCAUUGUUUCUCAUUGUUAUUAGCUCAGGAACACCUGCAAGGCCUUAAAGCCAAAGGAAAUUGCAAAUCCUGAAAUGAUAUUUUUCUUCUGAAAAUGAUAUCAUACUGUUACUGCCUCGUUGUUUGGAAACUUUUUUUUUUUUUUUUGGCUGGGGAUUGUCUUAGAGACUGUAGCCAUUCUGGAUAUUAAUGGGGUUAUUCUUUUGGAUUCUUUUUUUCUAGAGCCACACUUCAUAUUAAGCAUUAUUCAGAUUCUAACCGAAAGGGGGCCUCUUGGAUAGGAAGUCCACAAUGAAUUUCCCUACUUUGUUGUGCCUUUGUGUACAUGUUUGAAUGUAUGUGAUGCAGCCAGCCAAUCCUAGUUUCCAUUAAUGGUAUCAGACAUCAGAUUUGCUGUUCCAUAGGCCCAAAUCUAAACAUUUCCCUGAACCAGGGUUGAAAUAGGCUUGCUAAUUUGCUGAUUUUAGUUGCAUGUAUUGGGACAAGAAAACGAGAAGAAGGAGAGAGAAGAGAUGGGGGGUUUUCUGUGACUGUUAACAUUACCCAUGAACAAUUACUGAAGAGAUGAAAGAGAGAUUAGAGGAAAACUUCUUUGUUACACAAUUCAAAUUCAAACCCAUUUUCUGUAUUUUAUUCCAUAACUAAGGGAGGGGGUGAUUUGUUUAAACAUUAAAUAAUUAAACAAACUUAGAAACUACUUUUAGGGUUCAUAGAUGAAUCUUGCUAAAGUACUAAAACUCCCAAGCAGAAAUUAUAUCUAAUAGGACUCUUUCAGAUUUAUCUAUGACAGCUAAGGAAUGGGCCCCACAAGAUCCCUAUAACGACCACUAUUAGAUAAAUACUAAUCUUUAAUGGGUCCCACAUUGAUUAAAAUAUUUGUUUUAGUGGACCCCUUUAGACCCCAACUUUUGGACCUCAUAAUUCAAGCCAUUACCAAUAAAACUCGAAGAAUUAAAAGCGGAUACGCCACAAAUACUAAUGUGGCCAACAAAACUACUACUCAGCCUUAUCCCAACUAAAUAGGGUUGGCUACAUGGAUUCAAUCAGAGGCAGCAAAAGGAAAGAAGAUGUAAUAAGUAAAUACUCACCUAAAUGGGGUCGGCUACAUAAGUUCUAGCUCUCUAAUCAGAUAUAUUCAUAGUCAUAUUUGGGAUAAGAUCUAAACUAUGCAUGUCUUUCCUCAUUACUUCUCCUCUGGUCAUUUUUGGCUUGCCCCCAUCUCUUUUAGCUCCUUUAAUCUGUAUCAAAUUACUUCAUCACUCCUUCUUAAUGGCGCAUCCCUAGGCCCCGAUUAAGUAUGGUUAUAACACUUCAUAUAGCUUUCUCGGAGCUUAUCAUGAAUCGGGAUAACUCCCAAAUCAGCCCUAGUAUGAUCAUUCCUUACAUCCUUCAUAGUUUUUCUGCACAUCGAUCUCAACAUUCUCAUCUGUCUACACAAAGCUUAUCAAUAUGGGACUUCUUAACUAUCUAUCAUUUUGUCCCAUACAUUAUAGCCGGUUUAACAACUGUCCUAUAGAACUUUCCUUAAAGCUUUAAAGGAAUCUAUCAGUCAACACCCUGGAUGCACUACACCUCUCCACUUCAUCUAUCCCACUUUGAUCCUCUGUGAAACAUCAUCCUCUAUAUCACCUCCCACCUUUAUUGAGUGACUAUGAGAGGAAAAUGGAAUUGAAGGAGAGGGUAGAAGAGUGUUGUGCGAUAGAGAGAUUUUCACCUCCUCUUAUCCAGCCUAUUAUAUAUUAUAUUUAGAUGAAAAUAAAUACAACUUGAAUGGGACACUGAAUCCUAUGCAUAACAGUAGCUACGAAAUACAAGACUUACUCCCCACAACACUUAACACUUAAACAUGAUCAAGGACAACAUUUCGUUCGUGCAUCCAUGAUUGACCUACUAUGAUGAAAUGUUUGGAAGGAGGAAUUAUAUGACCUCUAGCACCAUCAAAGUAGGAAGAAACUGAAAAUUUGAUCAAAACCUCACUAUUACAUUUUGAUGAUUUCAUCUGAGACGACAUCUCUACCAUUGUCUGUGGAGAACAAAAUAUCAAUAUUUAUGCCAUCCCAUCUAUCUAAUCUGUAUUUUUGAAAGAAAAAAAAUUGUAUAAUACCGCUAACAUUUUAGAUUUAUUGUACAGUUUUUAGAUUAAAUUAAUUUUUCAUGAGGCUAGAACUAUGUUAACUUUUCCAUUUUCAUAUUACCAUAGAAAUUCUAGAUUUUAUCAUACUGCUAUUUAGAUCUAAUGAUCUGUCAACAAGCCCAAAGUUUGUUGAUUUUUCUUGAUAAUGAGAAAUGAACUUCCCAUGCUUUAUGCAGGUUUCACAUUCGGUAUACAAGAGAGUUUGAAAGCAUAAGUACUAGGCAAUGUAAAGUGAGUGAGCAAAAAUAAUGAUCUUUCUGAGUUGCCUGGUGCUCAGAUAAGCCACAAACAAGGCAAAGGGAAAGACCAGUUCAGUUCAUUUUUGUGGAGGCCUGAGCUAGCUUUUUGCACUCGUACUGGCUGGUGACGUGGUUCUCUAGCAUUUUGUGCACUUACUUCUGGAGUAUUUACUUCCUUACUUCUUAAUCUCAACCUUCUCUUGUUCAGAUAAUACACUCUAUUGCAACUUCCCAACCUGAACAAGUUUUAUCAUUGGUUGUUGUUGAAGGUAUCAUGGUAAAGGUUCCUAAAAAUAUACCCAGAAAAUUUUUACCUCAAUUCUAAAGCACCGAUUACUGAAGAAUUUCCUGUAGGUGUGUCAACAAAAUUCUUCCUUAUGGAUGUCCUUGCUUCAAUCUCAUUGAGGUACAUGUGGUGGUAGAACAUUGUUGAAGCUGAACUAUAUUACUUUAGGUUUCUUGUCUCUAUUAAUGGCAAUUAUGAGCUUCAUAUUUAUAUUCUGUAUAUCUUUAAAUUGAUGAAGAUGAAUUUAGAGCCGGAAGUAAGAAACUUGCUGCACACCUUGCUGAUCUGGAAGUUGAGGGACAUAUUCUAAACCUAAUGAGUAUCGUGGCAGUUGCAAAAUAAAAAUUAUUACUUAGCUCUUUCCUGCA